GAUGAACGCUAGCGGGAGGCUUAACACAUGCAAGUCGAGGGGCAGCAUAGGGUAGCAAUACUCUGAUGGCGACCGGCAAACGGGUGAGUAACGCGUAUGCAACCUACCCUGUACAGGGGGAUAACCCGGAGAAAUUCGGACUAAUAUCCCGUAAUAAUAUCCGGAGGCAUCUUUGGAUAUUUAAAGUUUCGACGGUACGGGAUGGGCAUGCGUAACAUUAGCUGGUUGGUAAGGUAACGGCUUACCAAGGCUAUGAUGUUUAGGGGUCCUGAGAGGGUGGUCCCCCACACUGGUACUGAGACACGGACCAGACUCCUACGGGAGGCAGCAGUGAGGAAUAUUGGUCAAUGGGCGCAAGCCUGAACCAGCCAUCCCGCGUGCAGGAAGACGGCCCUAUGGGUUGUAAACUGCUUUUCCAGGGAGAGAAACUUACGCACGUGUUGCGUGACUGACGGUACCCUGGGAAUAAGCAUCGGCUAACUCCGUGCCAGCAGCCGCGGUAAGCACGAG
rnacentral:rRNA from 1 species